CCUUUGCGACCCCAGUCCCGGCGGG
rnacentral:rRNA from 1 species